rnacentral:rRNA from 1 species
ACGUAGGAAGCGAGCGUUAUCCGGAUUUACUGGGCGUAAAGCGUGUGUAGGCGGUUUGACAAGUUGGAUGUGAAAGCUCCUGGCUUAACUGGGAGAGGUCGUUCAAAACUGUCAGACUUGAGAGUGGUAGAGGGAGGUGGAAUUCCGGGUGUAGUGGUGAAAUGCGUAGAUAUCCGGAGGAACACCAGUGGCGAAAGCGGCCUCCUGGCCCAUUUCUGACGCUCAGACACGAAAGCUAAGGUAGCAAACGGGAUUAGAGACCCCGGUAGUCUUAGCUGUAAACGAUGUGAACUUAGUGUCGGCGGGUUUAAAUCCGUCGGUACUGAAGCAAACGCGAUAAGUUCACCGCCUGGGGACUACGGCCGCAAGGUUA